rnacentral:lncRNA from 10 species
AACUAUCAACGGAGUGAAGAGACAACCUACAGGAUGGGAGAAAAUUUUUGCAAACUACGCAUCUGACAAAGGUCUAAUGUCCAGCAUCUAUAAGAGAUAAACAAACAACCCCAUUAAAAAGUGGGCAAAGGACAUGAACAGACACUUCUCAAAAGAAGAUGUACAUGCAGCCAACAACCAUAUGAAAAAAAGCUCAAUAUCACUGAUCAUUAGAGAAAUGUAAAUCAAAACCACAAUGAGAUACCAUCUCACACCAGUCAGAAUCGCUAUUAUUAAGAAGUCAAAAAAUAACAAAUGCUGGUGAUGUUGCAGAGAAAAUGGAAUGCUUAUACACUGUUGGUGGGAGUGUAAAUUAAUUCAACCAUUGUGGAAAACAGUAUGUCAAUUCCUAAAGAGCUAAAAGCAGAACUACUAUUUGACCCAGCAAUCCCAUUACUGGGUAUAUACCUAGAGGAAUAUAAAGCAUUCUACCAUAAAGACACAUGCACGUGAAUGUUCAUUGCAGCACUGUUCACCAUAGUAAAGACAUGGAAUCAACCUAAAUGCCCAUCAAUGACAGACUGGAUAAAGAAAAUGUGGUACAUAUACACCCUGGAAUACUACACAGCCAUAAAAAAGAACAAGAUCAUGUCUUUUGCAGGAACAUAGAUGGAGCUGGAGACUAUCAUCCUUAGCAAACUAAUACAGGAACAGAAAACCAAAUACUGCAUGUUCUCAUUUAUAAGUGGGAGCUAAAUGAUAAGAACUUAUGAACACAAAGAAAAGAACAACAGACACUGUGGUCUACUUGAGAGGGAAAGGUGGGAGGAGGGAGAGGAGCAGAAAGGUGAAAUGGAUGAGGUGAGAAAGGCCCGGACCACACCGAGAAUCGAAUGCAUGGUAAACAUAGGGCCACGGGGAAGUCUUGACACCGCUCGGCAAGAUCUCUCACCGAUGGAUCCACCCUCUAUGUUUUCUGAUUGGACACAUUUCCUGAGAUGGGAAGGAUCAUGCUAUUGGCUGAGGCUGCAUCAGGGGAGUAAUAUUUACUCUGGAAAAUCUGGGAGAGGGUGUCCCAGUCUGUGAACUACCCAGACCCCCACGUUCACAGAAUACUAGGAUGAGGAGGAUCCCAAGGAACACCUGCAUCAACUCUCAUGUUCUACAAGGGAAGAAGCCAGGUCUCAGGGACAUUAAAUCACUUUCCCAAAUGUACCAAGCUAGUUAGAGUGAAGAAAGAUCCUAUUUAUCCCAGUUCCCAGUGAAAUGCCAUUUCUGCUCCAUACCUUCUCUUCUCCAUGUGUCCUAUGCUCUCGCACUUUUUGUGCUGCUUAGCGUUUUGCCCAGAGGUGUGCCAGAGAUUAUUGCUCAUUCUUUCUCCUUCCACGGUCACAACACCUCCCUGGGCUGGUGUCACCUCUUACUUUGCAAUUCAAAACGUUGAAGAAGGUGCGACCUGUCUAGAUUUUCGUGUAGCCUUCUCUCCUGAUUGCUGUUUCAGAUAACACAUUCAGGGUGUUGGUAAAUAGCUGUGAAUCAGAGCCUCGGGGACAGCCUGGUUUGGUGUGUGGAUAGUCUGGCUAAUGUCAUAGCAGUCCCUGCCUUAAAUAUCAAUGUCCGAGGAAGGUGGGAUGCUGUUUCCAAAAGAUUGAUUUGCACUUCUGCUAAUAUAUGGCUGAGUGUUCUUUAAAAUGGAGUAUUCUGCUUGCCCUCUGCCACCUUCACAACACCCUAAAUCUUUGGAAGAACGUGCUUCUUGUUGGACCUACAAGUGGGGAGCAUCUUGCCUUGUCCGGCCUGUCCCAGUUUCUCGGGAACCCUUGAGGUUUCUGUCCCUGUUCCACAUACUUAGCCCCAUCUCCAGGCUUCCUGUCCAUCAGCCUGAGAGACCAUACUCUAGGAGUCUUAAGUGCUGAGUUCCCUAGUGGGAACUCACUGGACUGCAACGCCCCAAGUCCCUCCUUCUCUCUCUGUGCCUUGGGAUGGGCUUUGUGCCAGCUGUGCCCAUCCUGCUGUUCUGCAGCUUGGUGCCCCUUCCUAACGUGAUGGGCCUCUGCUAAGGUCAUGUUCUUUCACCAACCCAGGGUCCUUCCAGCUCCUCCACCAAAACAGUGCCCUGGUUGUCCUCACUUGUCCCAUCUUCAGCAGGGAGGCACUUGAUUCUGUGGCAUUUGGCACUGCUCACUGGGCUUUCUUUUCUUUUCACUGUAAGACUCAUGCAUUAGAUCUGUCUUGCUAUAGUCCUAACAAUGUCUCUGUGUCCCCACUCCCAUUCAACUCUUGCCAUUCUCCAGCCAUUGCUCUUGAAGAAUGUGGGACUAAUAACCCUGGGUAGGGUCACAAGGCCCUGCAGAGGUGAUGCCAUGAAGUUGCCUACACAGAACUGCCUCCCUGCUAAGAGUUCCAGGAUCAAAUUCUUCUAGGUGCCUGCUUGGGUGGGUCCUCAUCCCCACCCCUGCCCAGGGCACCAUCUGUGGGAGAUUAGGAGGUAAUCACUGUCUACCCCUCAGACACCACGUGCUGCAUGACUGUGUCCUGAGGCAGCCACAUGGCUGCCAGCUCUGAAGGUCCUGAGAUCCCCAUUCUGAGGCCCUUCGCUGACUCACUGCUCUCAUUCUUCUUUCUCUGUCCACUCUCAGGGCAACUACAUCCACACGGUGAAGGCAGGGCCUGUGUAGUGGAUGCCAGGCUGUCUUCACGUACAUUUCUCUUUCUCUUAAGCAUCCUGGACCAUAAAGCCCUAGUGUGCUGCUCCUACCUUGCCAGUAGGACUCCUGUCUCAGCUCCGUCUCCUGAAGACUGACCCUACAGGAGAGAUACAAGCAUCUCCUGUUACCUGUGCCCAGAUGGUCCUUAAAAAAUCAUUUUCCUAUUUGAUAAACAUAAAAAUGUUAUGUCUGACCAGCCAACAGGCUCUAGACCUGAGCCAUCUAGGAAGAUGAGGCCCCACCCCUAACUGGUGCCCUCUUUGCAGAUUCACUGAUGCAGAUUCUUGUCAGCAGAGAUAACUUGUCAAAUUUUACUUUCAUCAAGAGAAAUAUAAUUAGAGUGAUGUACUUUUCAUUUCUAAAUUAUGAAAUUCUAUUAUAAUGUGAAAUAUGUAUUUUCAAAGUAUACAUACAUUUCCUUUUAGAAAUGUUGAUAUACCUCCCUAGGAACUUUCCUUCCUUUUGUUAGAAAAUCAAUGCUGUAAAAUGUUAGGGAACAAAAGAAAGGUAUGGAGGAAGAUCAACCUUGUGGGACCCAGGAAGAAGCAGGGAAGAAGAAUCCCACUAUGAAACUACCUUUCCAGGACAAAUAAUGUUCUCAGAAAUGGGCAUGUACUUUGUCUCCAGGCAGAUAGCCUGCCCAUUACAUUUUUGUUUUGUUUUGUUUUGUUUUGUUUUGUUUGAGACGGAGUCUCACUCUGUCACCUAGGCUGGAGUACAGUGGCACGAUCUCGGCUCACUGCAGCCUCCACCUCCUGGGUUCAAGCGAUUCUCCUGCCUCAGCCUCCUGAGUAGCUGGGACUACAGGUGCCUGCCACCAUGCCCAGCUAAUUGUUGUAUAUAUUUUUUAGUAGAGAUGUGGUUUCACCAUGUUGGCCAGGCUGGUCUCGAACUCUUGACUUCAAGUGAUAUGCCUACCUCGACCUCCCAUUACGUUUUAAAUAGCACAGCUCUCUGCUACGUUGUAUAUUUCCCAAAUAAAAAGUUUUCAGCUCAAUCUCUAGAAAAGCUCUGCUUUAUCAACUUUCUGUUUCUCAUGCCAUGAGUUGACUAUGACUCUCUCACGCACCUGCCAAUCAGUUUUAUCACUUGCCAUUAGGAGGUCCUUGGGAAGCAAUGGGAAAGCUCCCCAGUCCAGAGAAACUAACUUCAGGCAUGUGUCUGAACUCAGAGGCUCCAACCAAGAGCAGGGAAGGGCCUUGUGGGAGGUGAGUGCAUUUUGGAUAUGGGGAGCAAGGCUGGUGGGAUUCUGCUAACGAAACUGAUCACAGGUGACAGGGCUCUCCUUUGAACUUGAUUAUUUUUAAAGUUCACCUCUCCCUGAUCCAUAACGAGGUCUGGUGAGACUUGUCAUAGUCCCAGAAUUAUUUCGAUCAUUCCAGCUCAGCCGAAACAAUGAGAGAACAUCAAUAUGGCAACUCCUCAGAUGUCUGGGAAGAGGGAUCAUCACCCAGGCCUGGGAGCUCUGCGCAGUUUUGUCUGCCUUGGCUCCAAAGUGCUCUUUGCCCUUAACACUGCACCACUGUACAGAUUCACACAGCUGGCACUAGCUCCACAGUGGCUAAGGUUGUGCUGCUUAGGACUGACCUGGAGGAGAGGGGAGAAAAAGAUGGUAUUAGUGGCUCCCUUUCAUGUCAACAGGUUCACUGAAAAAGGAGCAAAGGGCUUAGUCAUGUUUUAAUGCUCUCAAAGCUUACUAUGUAUCCAGGA